ACUGCGGAAGGAUCAUG
rnacentral:rRNA from 2 species